rnacentral:tRNA from 1 species
CGCGGGGUGGAGCAGUCUGGUAGCUCGCAAGGUUCAUAACUUUGAGGUCCCGGGUUCAAAUCCCGGUUCCGCAACUA